AUCUGCGGCCAUAGAUACCUGAAAGCACUGCAUCCCGUCCGCUCUGCACAGUUAAGCAGGUAGUCGCCCGGCCAGUACCGCGGUGGGGGACCACGCGGGAAUCCCGGGUGCUGCAGUUG
rfam:Pseudozyma flocculosa PF-1 unplaced genomic scaffold scaffold00006, whole genome shotgun sequence.